CAUAUAUUUUUCCGUCCAACAAAGGAUGUCUCAACUUUAACUAAAUUUGAAUGCAUUUAUACACUAAGUUAUGUCUAGACACAUCCAAAUUUUAACAAACUUGAGACAUCUUUUGUUGAACGGAGGGAGUACAUG
rnacentral:pre_miRNA from 1 species